UGCGGAGCCAGGCUAGCAGAACUACAGAAUGGGCUGAGGUGGCGGCGGUUGCCCGGACGAAGUCGACAGCAGGGCGAGAGGCGCGACGCCGAAGCCAGGAUUGAAAAUGGAGAUGUAUGAAACCCUUGGAAAAGUGGGAGAGGGAAGUUACGGAACUGUCAUGAAAUGUAAACAUAAGAAUACUGGGCAGAUAGUGGCUAUUAAGAUAUUUUUUGAGAAACCAGAAAAAUCUGUCAACAAAAUUGCAACGAGAGAAAUAAAGUUUCUAAAGGUUUGCUUCUUUUGCCUUAAUUGCUCUGUAAGUCAAAAGAAAAAUUGUUAUGGAAUAAAAAUUGUGUAGAAGAGUAUUUCAGGUAACACACGUAUUAAGACAUGUAAUAGAAAAACAAGUGUGAUACUUUACCUUAUUGUAUACAUUUUGUAAUUUUAUAGUGAUACCAGAUGUAUGUGCUUGUGUAUAGUGUACCAAAAGCUAUGCCAAUAUUGUGAAAUAAAUAUUAAGAAAUAUUCAGGUAUAGUACUUAA